CCUACGGGGGGCAGCAGUGAGGAAUAUUGGUCAAUGGGCGCGAGCCUGAACCAGCCAAGUCGCGUGAGGGAUGACGGUCCUAUGGGUUGUAAACCUCUUUUGUCGGGGAGCAAAAGACGCCACGCGUGGCGUGCCGAGAGUACCCGAAGAAAAAGCAUCGGCUAACUCCGUGCCAGCAGCCGCGGUAAUACGGAGGAUGCGAGCGUUAUCCGGAUUUAUUGGGUUUAAAGGGUGCGCAGGCGGAAUAUCAAGUCAGCGGUAAAAUAGAGAGGCUCAACCUC
rnacentral:rRNA from 1 species